rnacentral:misc_RNA from 1 species
AAGGAUGAUCCUUCAGCGAGCUCACGCUCACUAUCGGAUCGUUUUAGAAACAUCAGUGGCCAACAGAUCGCCAGAUCGUUGAGCUGCAUUGGCGGGAUUUCGCCGUCUUCGUUUCUCUUUCUUCGCGGACGAACACGCGCUGGGCCUGCAACGGCAGGGUCCAGGGUCCUUAACGGGAUGUGCGUUAGGGGCUUGUAGCUCAGUUGGUUAGAGCGCGCGCUUGAUAAGCGUGAGGUCGGAAGUUCAAGUCUUCCCAGGCCCACCACUUUCAUCGAGUGAGCAUUCGUCUUCUGGUUACGGGGCCAUAGCUCAGCUGGGAGAGCGCGUGCUUUGCAAGCAUGAGGUCGUCGGUUCGAUCCCGUCUGGCUCCACCAGAUGGUUUGAUCACCUGCGACUGACCGUCGUCCGCGAAACAUCACUUCGCAUUCACUAGUCUGGAUAGACAGUGAACUGCGUGUUUUCUGACAUCGUAAAGAGGAGAUCGAUCCGAGUUGGGUCGUGUAGCAGAUUGCUGCGCGAGCCUUCAUUAUCUCCGGAUCAUUUUCGGCGCUCGCGUCCGACCGCAAGGUUGGCCCGUGAGUUGUAAAAUGAUCCUUUUAGCGAAGCUUGACCGCCUCGCUAUCGGAACGAUCUUACGAAGCAAGCUGGUCUUUCUAGUCAAUGUCCGGCUGCAGAUAGCGUUCAUCGAGGGCGCGUGCCGCAAGGCAAUUCUGCAGACAACAUUCUGCCGAGUGUGUGGACAUUGAUAAUGAGAGCAAUCAAGUGCCUUAAGGGUGUUCGGUGGAUGCCUUGGCGCUGAGAGGCGAUGAAGGACGUGCUACGCUGCGAUAAGCC